AACUUCAGCAAGUUCGACAUUCUUGUGAAGCCGACAGGCUCCAAGUAAUGUUCCCCAAACUCCUGCAUCUGGAGGAAACGGCAUGCUCUUAACAGUUUCAUAAGCUUCCGUUAACCGACCAGCUCGUCCAAACAGAUCCACAACGCAAGCGUAAUGCUCCUGCUGCGGUUGGAUUCCAUAAUCCUCAGUCAUGGAUCUGAAGAAGCGGACUCCUUCAUCAACA